UUAAUCGGAUUUACUGGGCGUAAAGCGCGCGUAGGUGGCCAAUUAAGUCAAAUGUGAAAUCCCCGAGCUUAACUUGGGAAUUGCAUUCGAUACUGGUUGGCUAGAGUAUGGGAGAGGAUGGUAGAAUUCCAGGUGUAGCGGUGAAAUGCGUAGAGAUCUGGAGGAAUACCGAUGGCGAAGGCAGCCAUCUGGCCUAAUACUGACACUGAGGUGCGAAAGCAUGGGGAGCAAACAGGAUUAGACACCCCC
rnacentral:rRNA from 1 species